rnacentral:lncRNA from 1 species
AUGUCCACAAGGCAAAAACAAAGUCCACGACCAGGUAAAACACAGAGUCCAGGGAGUCCCUCACGGAGGGUGGGGACGCGGCGAGAUCCUGCUCAACCGCCGCUGAGGCAGGAGGGCACCCCCAGCGCCCUUGGGCUGGGCCAGCGUCCACGGGGACCCCCCCGAACGGCGACGUCCUCCAGGACGACGCCGAUCCUGGAGACCGAGGGGUCGAGGUGGACGUCGCCGCAGGAGGCAGCGCCACCCAAACGGCCGGAAGCGCCGAGGGCGAGGCCACCAGUCCAGCUGCCGAAGCGAGAACAGACGUGGCAACGCGGUCAGCGCCGGGCCGCCAGGAACCGAUGCAGGUGCGGCCGAGCCGCCAGGAACCGAUGCAGGUGUGGCCGAGCCGCCAGGAACCGAUGCAGGUGCGGCCGAGCCGCCAGGAACCGAUGCAGGUGCGGCCGAGCCGCCAGGAACCGAUGCAGGUGCGGCCGAGCCGCCAGGGACCGAUGCAGGUGCGGCCGAGCCGCCAGGAACCGAUGCAGGUGCGGCCGAGCCGCCAGGAACCGAUGCAGGUGCGGCCGAGCCGCCAGGAACCGAUGCAGGUGCGGCCGAGCCGCCAGGAACCGAUGCAGGUGCGGCCGGAACUAUGACGGGCGCGACCCCCUCCUGGAGGUCCGCCGGGACUGCGACGGGCGCGACCCCCUCCUGGAGGUCCGCCGGGACUGCGACGGGCGCGACCCCCUCCUGGAGGUCCGCCGGGACUGCGACGGGCGCGACCCCCUCCUGGAGGUCCGCCGGGACUGCGACGGGCGCGACCCCCUCCUGGAGGUCCGCCGGGACUGCAGCUGGCGCGACCCCCUCCUGGAGGUACGCGGGGACUGCAGCUGGCGCGACCUCCUCCUGGAGGUGCGCGGGGACUGCAGCUGGCGCGACCUCCUCCUGGAGGUGCGCGGGGACUGCAGCUGGCGCGACCUCCUCCUGGAGGUGCGCGGGACUGCAGCUGGCGCGACCUCCUCCUGGAGGUGCGCGGGGACUGCAGCUGGCGCGACCUCCUCCUGGAGGUGCGCGGGGACUGCAGCUGGCGCGACCUCCUCCUGGAGGUGCGCGGGGACUGCAGCUGGCGCGACCUCCUCCUGGAGGUGCGCGGGGACUGCAGCUGGCGCGACCUCCUCCUGGAGGUCCGCCGGGACUGCCACCCCAAGACUGACAGGGACAGGAACGGCAUCUACUUGGCCGACAGGGACAGGAACGGCAUCUACUUGGCCGACAGGGACAGGAACGGCAUCUACUUGGCCGACAGGGACAGGAACGGCAUCUACUUGGCCGACAGGGACAGGAACGGCAUCUACUUGGCCGACAGAAACAGGAACGACCUCAACUUGGCCGACAGGAACAGGAACGGGGACGGCCGCAACAUGGCCGACAGGAACGGCCUCAAAAUGGCCGACAGGAACAGGAACAGGGACUGGAACGGCCUCAACAUGA